AGAGUUUGAUCAUGGCUCAGGAUGAACGCUGGCGGCGUGCUUGAUACAUGCAAGUCGAACGGACCGACAUGAGCCGGAAGGGUUGGAAAGGAUGGACAGUGAGAAAUCGCAGGAAAUCCUGGAAGGCCCGGAAAGCUUAACGGAGGUUAGUGGCGAACGGGUGAGUAACACGUAGGUAAUCUGCCUCAAAGAGGGGAACAACUGUUCGAAAGGGCAGCUAAUUCCGCAUAAUAUCCGGUGCAAACCGGAAGAAAGGGACUUUGGUCCUGCUUUGAGAUGAGCCUGCGGCCGAUUAGCUAGUUGGUGGGGUAAUAGCUCACCAAGGCGACGAUCGGUAGCUGGUCUGAGAGGAUGAUCAGCCACACUGGGACUGAGACACGGCCCAGACUCCUACGGGAGGCAGCAGUAAGGAAUAUUGCACAAUGGACGCAAGUCUGAUGCAGCAACGCCGCGUGGGUGACGAAGGCCUUCGGGUCGUAAAGCCCUUUUCUAGGGGAUGAGGAAGGACAGUACCCUAGGAAUAAGUCUCGGCUAACUACGUGCCAGCAGCCGCGGUAAGACGUAGGAGGCGAGCGUUAUCCGGAUUCAUUGGGCGUAAAGGGCAAGUAGGCGGUAGCCCAAGUUGGGCGUGACAGUUCUCGGCUUAACUGAGAGAGGACGUUCAAAACUAGGUUACUAGAGGGCAGAAGAGGGAGGCGGAAUUCCUAAUGUAGCGGUGGAAUGCUCAGAUAUUAGGAAGAAUACCAGUGGCGAAGGCGGCCUCCUGGUCUGGCCCUGACGCU
rnacentral:rRNA from 1 species